GGCUGGUCCUAUGGUAAUAAGUUAUCAGAAUUUAUUAACAUUAAUGUCAUUAAAGUUGGUAUACAACCCCCACUGCUAAAUUUGACUGAAAA
ensembl:misc_RNA Y_RNA Y RNA